AUGCAGCGGGGCCGGGAAGAGGAGGAGGAGGAGGAGGAGGGCGAUGGCGGCCCGGAGCGGGCUCUGGAGAAGAGCCCCUUCCAGCUGACGGCCGGGGAUGUCUAUGACAUCUCCUCCGUGGUGGGCCGGGACCUGCUGCAGCUCAGCGCCGGGCCGCGGGUGCCCGCCGCCCUGGCCCGGCUGCAGUUCAGGAUCGUGAGGGUGCUGGAGAUGUUGGAAGCGCUGGUGAGCGAGAGCAGCCUCGCCGAGGAGCAGCUGCGGAUGGAGCGGGACAGCUUGCGGCGGGAGGUGGAGGAGCUGCGGGGAGAGAGGUCCCGAGGGGGCACCCAGCAGCUCAGCCUUGGACCAGAUAAAAUGAUAAUAGACCUCACAGAUCCAAAUCGCCCCCGGUUCACACUACAGGAGCUGCGAGAUGUAUUGCAAGAGCGUAACCAGCUGAAAGCUCAGCUUCUUGUGGUGCAAGAGGAGCUACAGUGCUAUAAGAGUGGGAUCAUCUCACAGAGAAGGGACCAAACUGAAGAACUGGAAAAAGAAGCCAGUGGCAGCAGCUCUGGCACUAGCAAGGACAGCGAAGAGAAGACAAUCAUCAAACGGCUGUUCUCUUUUAAACAUGGAAAAUGAGCACCCUCAAGAACAUAACCACUCCUGUUCAGAAAUGGCAGUGAUGAGAGCCUCUAAGGUGUUAGGGGAGUCAAUGAGUGGAAGAAAAAGCAUCUCUCCUACUGUAGAGAAUAAGCAAUCUCAUCAAAACUGUGUUGUAUAAUAUUCUUUCAGAAUAGAUUUUACUUUGCUUUUUUAGAAACCAAGACAAACACUUUUUGUAUUUCCUGGAUUCCUGCCAGACAUUAUCCACAUGUACAGAAUAAAUGUUUAUACAAAGGUGGUUUUUAUUCUUAUUAAAAGAGCCUGUGAUGAUCUGUACUGCCACUUACUUAUCCCAUCCACCUAUCAAAAUGCUCAGCCCAAAUGAUUUUGCUAGAUGAAGAUAUUUUUAAGAGCUACAUGCCAUUCACAAGUGCAUGCAUACAAAAGCGCUGGGAAGGAAGAACCCAUUCAGACUGCAGUCCCCACUGCUCUCAUGCAGAAAGUAAUUAUCUUACACUAACACAGAACUGCUUGAAGAAAACCCCAGCACUGCAUUUUUGUUUGCUUUCUUUGCAUUAGAUGGGCAGUACACAGGCAGCAGCACGCAUAAGCCUGUCACACCCCACCCCACCCCACCAAAAGAAGAUGCAGUUGCGCUGUGACAACAGAACGCCUGUACACAUGGGAGUGGCUGGGGUAGAGAUGAAAGAUGGUGGAGAAAAACACAGCAAGGGAGGAAAAGCUGCUGCAUCGUGCUCUGCCCGCAUGAAGGACUGAUGUCUUUUCAGAGGUGCAGACAUCCUCAAACUAGAGCAGAUGCACCAAACAUUUCAUUUCUGGCAGCUAAAGGUCUCCUGUGGUAGACAGUUGUAUUUUUCAUUAGCUCUGUUCUUUCAGUCAGCUGUCACAAGCUGUGUAUUAGCUCAAGUAAUGAGAUUUAUCACUAGUGGAAGCAUAUAGGGCAAACAGAGGAAUAGAAAAAGAAGCUUGAAAGACACUAAUUAGGUUCCACAUUUAGAAAAGCAGAAUUUCCAGAGCAGCAAAAGUCUGAAGAGACUUAAAAAGAGCAGUGACAGAGACAUUGUCUUCAAGUUUUUAAUUUAAAAAAUACAUCACUAAGCCACCUCUCUUGCUGCUGGAGCAUACAACCAGGAUGUUGUUGCUAUUUGACCUAUCACAUAGGCAAGCAUGUAAGAUUGUCCUAGAAGGCAUUAGCUGGAACAGCAGCAGCCUUCAAGACAUGAGGAAUAAGAGACAUUAACAGAGCCACAGAUCCCUUGCUGACAUCUUCCAGCAGCAAGCGCGGCUGAUGGCUCACAGCCAUUUUCAUCUACACACAUGCCAAGCCUGCCUUGGCAAAAAUUCCAACUGGUAAGAAUUCAUCUUUAACAUAAAGGACCUGCAUUGUAUUGCCCGCCUAUAUCACAGAUUUGGUUCUCCGACAGUAACGUUACAAACAUCCGCAAGACGCUAAGCGCUCAACUCCCAUUUAAGACGGUGGGACCAGACCAUGCUGGACAGACCUACAGGACCAGGCAAUAAGGAAUCUACUUUCUUCAUUGCAUGAACUCCAUCAUUACAGUUUGAAGCUGCAUAUGAAGACGACUCCUAUUUUUGGAACCGCUAUGCUCUACUUCAAGCAUUCACAGUAAAUAAAUAGCUUCUGAUGUGGCUAAUUAGCAUAGGAAGAUAAUAAAAAAAUUUUUGGAGAGAGCUUUUUCUUCUUCUUUAAAAUCCUCUGGGAGACACCUCCAAGGAUCAGCCAUCAACUAUAAAAAGGUACCUUCUUAAAUUUUAGAAAAUAAGUAAAUGUCAAACAUUGAUUCUCACUGUGAAGUUCUAUCUUCACAUUUGUAAUCAGUAUCAACCCAGUCUAUCAAAAUCCAUCCUCAUUUGGCUUGGAGUCAUUUCUCUGAAGAAAGCAGCCAAUUUGACCAUCCAUUUCCCUCAGCACCAGUGCAUUUAAAGUUCAUUACCAACAUGAGAUACGACACUGGAAAAAAUGGAUCCCUACCCCAAAUUAUUUGAGAACGAUAGUAGCAUCCAUCUCAGAGAAGCCUGUCAGCACUGGGUUGUAAAAAGCAGUCUGACAAGCAGUCAAGCCAUUGGAUGUACUAGUCAGAGUACAGAAGUACAUCUGCUGUCAUAAAGCUAAUGCCAAGGUCAUCACCCCACAAAGUGGAGCAUGAGAUUUCAUUGCAAAAGCAGAACAACCACCCAAGUGAUUAAGUUUCUGUGCAAGUCUUUGACUGCAUGCUCAAGUGGCACUGGUCACUAUGCAGAAGUAUUCAAAUUUUAGGGAGGGUUUCCUUUUAUGAUAUAAAAGUUUUGGCAAUCUAAGAUCAAUUACUCAAGCCUGCCUAGAAAACUGUAAUAGGUAUUUAAAUACUGCAAAGCAAAAGGAAGUUUUUCAGGAGCUCAGAACACUAAGCAGUCCACUAAGAAAGCUGAGGGAAGUGAGGACAGGAAAGAAAAAAAAAAAUCCACUGACUCCUU